rnacentral:rRNA from 1 species
UACGGAGGAUGCAAGCGUUAUCCGGAAUGAUUGGGCGUAAAGGGUCCGCAGGUGGCAAUGUAAGUCUGCUGUCAAAGCGUCUGGCUCAACCAGAUAAAGGCAGUGGAAACUACAUAGCUAGGGUAAGGUAGGGGUAGAGGGAAUUCCUGGUGUAGCGGUGAAAUGCGUAGAGAUCAGGAAGAACACCGGUGGCGAAAGCGCUCUGCUGGACCUUAACUGACACUGAGGGACGAAAGCUAGGGGAGCGAAUGGG